AGAGUUUGAUCAUGGCUCAGAUUGAACGCUGGCGGCGUGCUUAACACAUGCAAGUCGUGCGAGAAAGGGGGCUUCGGUCCCUGAGUAGAGCGGCGCACGGGUGAGUAACGCGUGGAUAAUCUCCCUGGAAAUUCGGGAUAACGGUGGGAAACCGCCGCUAAUACCGGAUACGCUCCCAAUUUAUUUUGGGGGGAAAGGCGGCCUCUGCUUGCAAGCUGUCGUUUCCAGAUGAGUCCGCGUCCCAUUAGCUUGUUGGUAGGGUAACGGCCUACCAAGGCUACGAUGGGUAGCUGGUCUGAGAGGAUGAUCAGCCACACUGGGACUGAAACACGGCCCAGACUCCUACGGGAGGCAGCAGUGGGGAAUAUUGCGCAAUGGGGGAAACCCUGACGCAGCGACGCCGUGUGAGGGAAGAAGGCUUUCGGGUCGUAAACCUCUGUCAGAAGGGAAGAACCGCAUGGGGCCCAAUAGGUCCCAUGCCUGACGGUACCUUCAGAGGAAGCGCCGGCUAACUCCGUGCCAGCAGCCGCGGUAAUACGGAGGGCGCGAGCGUUAAUCGGAAUCACUGGGCGUAAAGCGUACGUAGGCGGCGACGUAAGUCAGACGUGAAAGCCCUCGGCUCAACCGAGGAAUUGCGCUUGAUACUGCGUUGCUUGAGUCCUGGAGAGGGGCGGAAUUCCGGGUGUAGGAGUGAAAUCCGUAGAUAUCCGGAGGAACACCGGUGGCGAAGGCGGCCACCUGGACAGGUACUGACGCUGAGGUACGAAAGCGUGGGGAGCAAACAGGAUUAGAUACCCUAGUAGUCC
rnacentral:rRNA from 1 species